CCGCCUGAAAUGAUGAUUCUUCAAAUUUCAUGUCUCUUCUCUGAUAUGUUUCUCUGAAGAUACAUUUCGCCAUACUGAUCUGAUCAGGCUA
rnacentral:snoRNA from 1 species